GGGGAGGAAGUGACCCCCCCUCGCCCUGCCAGGGCCGGAAGUACCGUUUGGGAACCGACUCCGCGCUGAGCUGGAGAGGCCUAGGGGGCUGCGGCGAGGGUGUGGAUGAGGCCUGAGAGGCCGUCGUGGGAGACGGACAUUGCCCAUGGAUGAGCUGGUGCAUGAUUUGGCCUCAGCCUUAGAGCAGACAUCUGAACAGAAUAAGCUGGAUGAGUUGUGGGAAGAAAUGACUCUGAGUCCAAGGCAGCAACGGCGGCAACUUCGCAAGAGACGGGGCCGCAAACGGCGCUCAGACCUUACACAUCAGGCAGAGCACGCUUGCUGUUACAGCGGGGCUUCAGAAUCCAGCUUGGAUGAAGCUGUGGAGGACUGCCGGGAAGUGCUGACAGCCAAUUUUAGUGACUCGGAUGACAUGACAGGAGUCAAGCGUCAUCCAGCACUCAGUGCAACUCUCCGGAGUAAGCAGCACUCGUGGCAUGAGUCAGACUCAUUCACUGAGAAUGCACCUUGCCGACCGCUCAGACGUCGUCGAAAAGUUAAGCGUGUGACAUCAGAGGUGGCUGCCAGCCUUCAACAGAAACUUAGAGUGUCAGAAUGGAGUUAUGAAAAGGGUUGCAGGUUCAAGUCUGCUAAGAAACAGCGCCUGUCUCGGUGGAAGGAGAAUGCUCCCUGGACAUCAUCCAGCCGAGGGCUCUGUGAAUCAGCAGAGACCAGGGCCUUCCUCAGCAAGGGGGGAAGGAAUGAGAGAAUGGAAUGUGAAGCAGAUGAACAGAAACAGGGUUCUGAUGAAAAUAUGUCUGAAUGUGAAACCAGCAGUGUGUGCAGUAGCAGUGAUACUGGCCUAUUCACGAAUGACGAAGGCCGUCAAGGUGAUGAUGAGCAGAGCGAUUGGUUCUAUGAGGGCGAAUGUGUCUCAGGGUUUACUGUCCCGAAUCUUCUGCCCAAGUGGGGGACUGACCACCGAUCAGAUGUUGAGCGAAUGGAUUCCAGCCUUGAAAAAGUUUCAGAUCCAACAUUUCUUCUGCCUUCUCGACCUGCUACAAGAGGGAUUCAUGGCCGUUUGAACCGUCUCCCCAGCGUUGCUUCCCGUUGCCUCAGAAAGGGCCGCAGAAGGCUAGUUGGCAAGGAGACCAUCAUGAGUGCUAUUGGCACUGAGAGGAUUAGCCACAUCAUUGGUGAUCCAUGCCAAAAAGAUUUCUGGUUGCCGUCUGUGGGAAUGAGGGAUCGCAACCAGUUCAACCCACUAUCUCCUCUGUACUCUUUGGAUGUUCUUUCUGAUGCUUCUCACCGAAGGUGCUCACCAGCACACUGCACAGCCAGGCAGACUAAUAUCCAUCUGGGACCUCCAUGCUCAAGGGACAUCAAGAGGAAGCGAAAGCCAGUAAUGGCAACAUCCUCCCUUUCCAGCCCAGCCUCAGCAGCUUUAUCCAUCCACAUAGAUUCAUCAGACCCUGGUCCACCAGUGACACACUCCCAGAGACACCAGAACUGACUGGACAGGCCAGAGUCCUUUCAUUGGAGAAAAGUACCAUUACUACCCCAGACAGCUCUUUUAAAAUGCCAUAGGAGAAAGCUCUUGACCGCUGCUAGUUGGAGGCAGCUCUUCCUUUGAAGAACCAGCUGGGUGUUCUGCUUGUCGGACUUCAGAGUAUGUCGGUAUCUUUAUCAACUGCCUUGAUUUGCAGUAGUCAUCUCUUCAAUGUUAGCAUGUGAUGUUCACCUCUGUGAAAAUGAUUUGUUUGCCCCACACAUUGUCCAAAUCAUGUUUUAAAAAUGCCUGAGUGAUGCUGGGGUUUCUAUAUUUUCAGUGUUCUCCCUGUUUCUGAGUAAGUAUUUACCGUAACACCUGCUCUAACACUAUGAUUAUUUUCCUAAAAGACAGUGUGAAGUGAUACAGCUCUAUGAGAAGUGUUGGUAACACCAGUUCUAAUGGGUUUGCAGUAUCACUAUCUCUUAUGUAUGAAUGACAUGAGAUAGCAGCUGGAGGAAGUGGCGACCACCAGCUGACUGUCUCUGCUAGCCUCAUGUGCUAGAACUUCUCUAGGUUGCCUUCCAAGUUGAGGCUUCCUCCCAGGAGACCUGCGGCCACCUUCUCCAUCAGCCCUGCAGCUCCUACUGAGGCAUGGGUCCUCAAGGUGUGCAAGUCUCCAGUGUAUCUCCAGUGUAGUUGGGAGGUGGUUGUCCUGCCCACAGCAAUGUCACAUCACUUCCAACUGGACAAAUCAUGUUACAGAGCCACCACCCAAUCCUCUCCUCCAUGUGUUAUUUUUUUAAAAUUAAAAAAGGACAGUUUGUUAUAAUGCUGCAGUUUUAAUUGACGUAUGACUGUAUUGCACACUAAUCUCCAACCCCAAUACCUGUUAUCAGUGGCUGGAGAUGUGCACAAAAUAUUGCUGGAUAUUUCCAAGGUCUGUCUUUGUUGCAAAAUUCUUUAUCCCUCGUAUGUUGUCAGCUCUAGGAUGCCCUGUAUUCCGCAGGGUAGAUUCUGAUCGCAGUGCUCUGCAGGGUGGGGCUGGAGUAGAGCCCAUCUCUUUGGAAAGCAUAAGAGCUGAAAACAAGCCAGCAGAGAUCUCUGUUUAGAACAGAGGUUCACAGAGGAUAAAACACAUUAUCUGAAUAGGGUGGCUUGAAGUUGUGCAUUGGGAACAUUCUCAAAGGCUACUUGUUGGCUCAGAUUUUAAGGAAAUAGACUGGCUUUGCCCCUUCAGGAGUGACUACUGACUUUCUGUAUAUACAGUUACCCUGCUAGAUUUUUCUUCCUGUGUCUCUGGGGCAUCCUAAUAAUGGAUUUUAAUUAAGGUUCCUUUCCUAUUGGCCUUGUUUUCCUGUGUUUCAUGAUGCACAGGUCAGUGGAACCAUAAGUGCACAAACUGGACUGUCAUGUGGAAUGCUCUGCAAUAUAUACUCCUUAAAGCGAAUGACAAUGAAAUGGACUACCCAUCAUGGCUGUUCUGUUUGGGAAGUUAUUACAAAGGCUCUGCUGAGGUAUUAAUCUGAAGUCCAUGUGUUGUAGUUCUAAUAAAUAGCCUUUUAACUA